GGUGAAGUUCAGGUCUGUUUCUAUCUCUCUCUGAUGGUCAUGACGUUCAAGCUAAAUCAAGCAGCACUGCUCUUCAUUCAGCUAUUAGUGAUAUGGCAUAAUUUUGCAGAGUUUGCUGAAGAAGGAAACAGAGCUGUGUUUGCAUCCAUAGGACACUCAGUGACAUUAACUUGCAACAUAUCCAAAAACAAUGCAACACUAAUCACCUGGACCAACAACAGAUCUGUUUUUCAAUAUUCUAUUGCGCUAAAUCGCAAGUUUUCAAAUUUCUCAUUGUAUAGGCUGAAAAUAAAUCAUGAGUUCCCUACAAAGCUAAUUAUUUUUAGUGCUCAAUCUGAAGAUGAAGGACUUUAUAAAUGUAGCAUAACAGACAAAAGUGGCCUAAACAGCAUUACAUGGAAUUUAACUGUUUCUGAGAACCCCAAAGAGUUCACUUCAUCAAGGUAUUUUCUACACUUACUCCUACCUGCAAUUGGAUUCCUU